GGAGCUUUUCUUGAACUUUCAUUUUCUCACAUACAAAAGAGUUAAUGAGAGUGGUGCUCACAGUUAGCCUUAUCUGGAAUCCAUAAAAAACUUCAACCAAGACAAGCGAUUCUCCUGUGCCGUUCUCUCUUCCCACACUCCUUCCACAGGUGUCCGCCAUGUAGAUGCGGAUACUGUUGUCUUCUACGACACUGAUUUAGAUCUGCUGAUGGAUACAAAGGCUGAAGAAUGGCGUGGUAACAUUGCAAGAGACAGAGAUAUGUAUACAGCCUUACAAGUGGUAAUUCUGUUGAAGAGAGGCUGUUGAAAAAAGGUAUUAAACAUUUGAUUCAAGAAGUGUCUG